CCCUAGCCCUGAUAGAAGCGGUAUCCUUUUUUUGAGUUGAUUUUUCUUCAACUCAAGAAAAGAUACAAGCGGAUAGCAGGAAAUAGC
rnacentral:sRNA from 1 species